GUUUGAUCUGGCUCAGAUUGAACGCUGGCGGGAUGCUUUACCACAUAUGAUCGAACGGCAGCACGAGACUUCGGUCCCUCUGGUGGCGAAGUGGCGAACAGGUGAGUAAUAUCCGGAACGUGCUAGUAGCGAGUAACUGCGCAGCGUAGCUAAUGCCGCAUACGCCCUUCAGGGAAAGCGGGGACCUUCGGGCCUCGCACUAUUGAAGCGGCCGAUAUCGGAUUAGCUGUAGUUGGUGGGUAACGGCUCUGAGGCGACGAUCCGUAGCUGGUUUUGAGAGGACGACCAGCCACACUGGGACUGAGACACGGCCCAGACUCCUGCAAGGAGCAACCAGUGGGGAAUUUUGGACAGUAGGAAGCCCUGAUUACAGCCAUCCCGCGUGUGCGAUGAAGGCCUUCGGGUUGUAAAGCACUUUUGGCAGGAAAGAAACUUUGGCACGGGAUAAUACCCACGUGCAACUGACAGUACCUGCAGAAUAAGCACCGGCUAUAACUACGUGCCAGCAGCCGCGGUAAUACGUAGGGUGCAAGCGUUAAUCAGAUUACUGGGCGUAAAGCGUGCGCAGGCGGUUCGGAAAGAAAGAUGUGAAAUCCCCAGAGCUUAACUGGAACUGCAUUUUUAACUACCGAGCUAGAGUGUGUCAGAGGGAGGUGGAAUUCCGCGUGUAGCGAUGAAAUGCGUAGAUAUGCGGAGGAACACCGAUGGCGAAAGGCAGCCUCCUGGGGAUAACACUGACGCUCAUGCACGAAAAGCGUGGGGAGCAAACGGGAUUAGAUACCUGGUAGUCCACGCCUAAACGAUGUCAACUAGCUGUUGGGGCCUUCGGGCCUUGGUAAGCGCAGCUAACGCGUGAGUUGACCGCCUGGGAGUACGGUCGCAAGAUUAAAACUCAAAGGAAUUGACGGGGACCCGCACAAGCGGUGGAUGAUGGAUUAAUUCGAUGCAACGCGAAAAACCUUACCUACCCUUGACAUGUCUGGAAUCCCGAAGAGAUUUAGAAGGAGUGCUCGCAAAGAGAACGCCAGGAACACAGGUGCUGCAUGGCUGUCGUCAAGCACUCGUGUCGUGAGAUGUUAGGUUAAGUCCCGCGGCAGGCGCAACCCUUGUCGUGGAUUUUGCUCGCGAAAGGGCGCCCUGUGGGGCUACCGGUGACAAACCGGAGGAAGGUGGGGAUGACGUCAAGUCUAUAUUGUACACCAGCAGGUGGGCAUCACCACGAUCAUGCAAUGGUCGGGACAGAGGUCGCCAACCCACGGCCAGUCUGAAGCCUGAUCGUGGUCGGAUCGCGAUCAUACAACUCGACUGCGUGAAAUCAGAUCGCAGUAAUCGCGGAUCAUGUCGCGUGGGCCGGUCAGGUCUUGUACGCCACCGCCCGUCGCACUGCAUGAGGAGUGGGUUUAUUCGAGUGAUUAAUAGCCGUAAAGAGGGCGAUCUACGGUAGGAUUCAUGACUGGUAAAAGUCGUAACAAGGU
rnacentral:rRNA from 1 species